UCCGGUUUGUCACCGGCGGUCUCCCUAGAGUUCCCACCAUUGCGUGCUGGCAACUAGGGACAAGGGUUGCGCUCGUUGCGGGACUUAACCCAACAUCUCACGACACGAGCUGACGACAGCCAUGCAGCACCUGUGCUAGCUCCCCGAAGGGUCCUUCAUGUUUCUAAUCCGUACUACUAGCAUGUCAAGCCUUGGUAAGGUUCUUCGCGUUGCAUCGAAUUAAACCACACGCUCCGCCACUUGUGCGGGCCCCCGUCAAUUCCUUUGAGUUUCAGCCUUGCGACUGUACUCCCCAGGCGGCAUAUUUAACGCGUUAGCUCCGGCACAGAUCAACUGAAUGACCUACACCAAAUAUGCAUCGUUUAGGGCGUGGACUAC
rnacentral:misc_RNA from 1 species